AAAAUCUCUAAACACAUGGAAAUUAAAUACACUUCUAAAUAAUUCAUGGGUCAAAGAGUGAGUCGCAAGGGAAACUGGAAAACAUAUUGAAUUAUGUAAAAGUGAAAAUAUAACAUGUUGACUGGUAUCAGCAAAAAUGGCAGAGUAGGUAUCUCCAAGUCCCCAUCCCCCCACAGAAACAUUGAUAAACCAAGCAAAACUGUCUGAAUCAACUUCAUGAGAACUGUAGAAAAAUAAUCAAAAUAAUCAAAGGUUUACAAUAACCAGAUCAUCUGAUGUGGCUCUUUGUCCCCAAGCACAUCUCAUCCUGAAUUGUAAUCCCCAGGGGUCAAGGAGGGACCUGGUGGAAGGUGACUGGAUCACGGGCGCGGUUUGCCCUAUGCUGU
rnacentral:lncRNA from 1 species